CAGUGGAGGAAGGUUCCACCCAGAUAGUUGUCGAUAGGGGUAGCUAGCGACCGGUUCGGUUGGGUAACUAGCCGGGUCGAAGCCUCGUGACAAAGGCCACCUUGGGCGGUUGAGCGAUCCGAUGGGCCGUAAUGCGA
rfam:Sinorhizobium fredii NGR234 plasmid pNGR234a, complete sequence.